ACACUACGCUCUCCCGAUUGGAAUGAAGGGGUUAUAGGUCUAUGCUUAACCAAAGGCAGAAAUGAAACAGAGAUGUACUAACAUGAUUAGAUGCUAAUGUCAGACUAGAAUCCAGGUAUCAGCAAA